AUUGAACGCUGGCGGCAGGCCUAACACAUGCAAGUCGAGCGGGGUUUUCGGACCUAGCGGCGGACGGGUGAGUAAUGCGUAGGAAGCUGCCCGAGAGAGGGGGAUACCAGUUGGAAACGACUGUUAAUACCGCAUAAUGUCUACGGACCAAAGUGUGGGACCUUCGGGCCACAUGCUAUCGGAUGCGCCUACGUGGGAUUAGCUAGUUGGUGAGGUAACGGCUCACCAAGGCGACGAUCUCUAGCUGGUUUGAGAGGAUGAUCGGCCACACUGGAACUGAGACACGGUCCAGACUCCUACGGGAGGCAGCAGUGGGGAAUAUUGGACAAUGGGCGCAAGCCUGAUCCAGCCAUACCGCGUGUGUGAAGAAGGCCUUCGGGUUGUGAAGCACUUUCAGCGAGGAGGAAGGGGUGUGUGUUAAUAGUACACACCUUUGACGUUACUCGCAGAAGAAGCACCGGCUAACUCUGUGCCAGCCGCCGCAGUAAAAC
rnacentral:rRNA from 1 species